rnacentral:lncRNA from 1 species
UCAGUUCUAACUUUUUUUCUACUCCUUAGCAUGAUUGCCUUGGCAGAUUCAAAGCCUCAUUUCGGAUUCACAAUGGUUGAACUAGGAAGUUUUCCUUGUUCUCGGAAUUGCCCCAUGAACUCCGCAAUCUGCCCUACUUGCUUCUCUAACUCGUCCACCUUUUUGUCCCUAGUUUGCAUACCCUGCGCCAUAGAAGUUAGUAAUUGAAAAAUCUGAUCAUUAUCAAUGGAUGAACCUAAUUUGUUUUGGGCAGGUUGUGCUUGAGGUUGGGUUGGUGUAA